UUAAGCGACUAAGCGUACACGGUGGAUGCCCUGGCAGUCAGAGGCGAUGAAGGACGUGCUAAUCUGCGAUAAGCGUCGGUAAGGUGAUAUGAACCGUUAUAACCGGCGAUUUCCGAAUGGGGAAACCCAGUGUGAUUCGUCACACUAUCAUUAACUGAAUCCAUAGGUUAAUGAGGCGAACCGGGGGAACUGAAACAUCUAAGUACCCCGAGGAAAAGAAAUCAACCGAGAUUCCCCCAGUAGCGGCGAGCGAACGGGGAGCAGCCCAGAGCCUGAAUCAGUGUGUGUGUUAGUGGAAGCGUCUGGAAAGGCGCGCGAUACAGGGUGACAGCCCCGUACACAAAAAUGCACAUACUGUGAGCUCGAUGAGUAGGGCGGGACACGUGGUAUCCUGUCUGAAUAUGGGGGGACCAUCCUCCAAGGCUAAAUACUCCUGACUGACCGAUAGUGAACCAGUACCGUGAGGGAAAGGCGAAAAGAACCCCGGCGAGGGGAGUGAAAAAGAACCUGAAACCGUGUACGUACAAGCAGUGGGAGCACGCUUAGGCGUGUGACUGCGUACCUUUUGUAUAAUGGGUCAGCGACUUAUAUUCUGUAGCAAGGUUAACCGAAUAGGGGAGCCGAAGGGAAACCGAGUCUUAACUGGGCGUUAAGUUGCAGGGUAUAGACCCGAAACCCGGUGAUCUAGCCAUGGGCAGGUUGAAGGUUGGGUAACACUAACUGGAGGACCGAACCGACUAAUGUUGAAAAAUUAGCGGAUGACUUGUGGCUGGGGGUGAAAGGCCAAUCAAACCGGGAGAUAGCUGGUUCUCCCCGAAAGCUAUUUAGGUAGCGCCUCGUGAAUUCAUCUCCGGGGGUAGAGCACUGUUUCGGCAAGGGGGUCAUCCCGACUUACCAACCCGAUGCAAACUGCGAAUACCGGAGAAUGUUAUCACGGGAGACACACGGCGGGUGCUAACGUCCGUCGUGAAGAGGGAAACAACCCAGACCGCCAGCUAAGGUCCCAAAGUCAUGGUUAAGUGGGAAACGAUGUGGGAAGGCCCAGACAGCCAGGAUGUUGGCUUAGAAGCAGCCAUCAUUUAAAGAAAGCGUAAUAGCUCACUGGUCGAGUCGGCCUGCGCGGAAGAUGUAACGGGGCUAAACCAUGCACCGAAGCUGCGGCAGCGACGCUUAUGCGUUGUUGGGUAGGGGAGCGUUCUGUAAGCCUGUGAAGGUGUACUGUGAGGUAUGCUGGAGGUAUCAGAAGUGCGAAUGCUGACAUAAGUAACGAUAAAGCGGGUGAAAAGCCCGCUCGCCGGAAGACCAAGGGUUCCUGUCCAACGUUAAUCGGGGCAGGGUGAGUCGACCCCUAAGGCGAGGCCGAAAGGCGUAGUCGAUGGGAAACAGGUUAAUAUUCCUGUACUUGGUGUUACUGCGAAGGGGGGACGGAGAAGGCUAUGUUGGCCGGGCGACGGUUGUCCCGGUUUAAGCGUGUAGGCUGGUUUUCCAGGCAAAUCCGGAAAAUCAAGGCUGAGGCGUGAUGACGAGGCACUACGGUGCUGAAGCAACAAAUGCCCUGCUUCCAGGAAAAGCCUCUAAGCAUCAGGUAACAUCAAAUCGUACCCCAAACCGACACAGGUGGUCAGGUAGAGAAUACCAAGGCGCUUGAGAGAACUCGGGUGAAGGAACUAGGCAAAAUGGUGCCGUAACUUCGGGAGAAGGCACGCUGAUAUGUAGGUGAAGUCCCUCGCGGAUGGAGCUGAAAUCAGUCGAAGAUACCAGCUGGCUGCAACUGUUUAUUAAAAACACAGCACUGUGCAAACACGAAAGUGGACGUAUACGGUGUGACGCCUGCCCGGUGCCGGAAGGUUAAUUGAUGGGGUCAGCGCAAGCGAAGCUCUUGAUCGAAGCCCCGGUAAACGGCGGCCGUAACUAUAACGGUCCUAAGGUAGCGAAAUUCCUUGUCGGGUAAGUUCCGACCUGCACGAAUGGCGUAAUGAUGGCCAGGCUGUCUCCACCCGAGACUCAGUGAAAUUGAACUCGCUGUGAAGAUGCAGUGUACCCGCGGCAAGACGGAAAGACCCCGUGAACCUUUACUAUAGCUUGACACUGAACAUUGAGCCUUGAUGUGUAGGAUAGGUGGGAGGCUUUGAAGUGUGGACGCCAGUCUGCAUGGAGCCGACCUUGAAAUACCACCCUUUAAUGUUUGAUGUUCUAACGUUGACCCGUAAUCCGGGUUGCGGACAGUGUCUGGUGGGUAGUUUGACUGGGGCGGUCUCCUCCUAAAGAGUAACGGAGGAGCACGAAGGUUGGCUAAUCCUGGUCGGACAUCAGGAGGUUAGUGCAAUGGCAUAAGCCAGCUUGACUGCGAGCGUGACGGCGCGAGCAGGUGCGAAAGCAGGUCAUAGUGAUCCGGUGGUUCUGAAUGGAAGGGCCAUCGCUCAACGGAUAAAAGGUACUCCGGGGAUAACAGGCUGAUACCGCCCAAGAGUUCAUAUCGACGGCGGUGUUUGGCACCUCGAUGUCGGCUCAUCACAUCCUGGGGCUGAAGUAGGUCCCAAGGGUAUGGCUGUUCGCCAUUUAAAGUGGUACGCGAGCUGGGUUUAGAACGUCGUGAGACAGUUCGGUCCCUAUCUGCCGUGGGCGCUGGAGAACUGAGGGGGGCUGCUCCUAGUACGAGAGGACCGGAGUGGACGCAUCACUGGUGUUCGGGUUGUCAUGCCAAUGGCACUGCCCGGUAGCUAAAUGCGGAAGAGAUAAGUGCUGAAAGCAUCUAAGCACGAAACUUGCCCCGAGAUGAGUUCUCCCUGACUCCUUGAGAGUCCUGAAGGAACGUUGAAGACGACGACGUUGAUAGGCCGGGUGUGUAAGCGCAGCGAUGCGUUGAGCUAACCGGUACUAAUGAACCGUGAGGCUUAACCU
rnacentral:rRNA from 1 species